AAUCCAUAGGUUAAUGAGGCGAACCGGGGGAACUGAAACAUCUAAGUACCCCGAGGAAAAGAAAUCAACCGAGAUUCCCCCAGUAGCGGCGAGCGAACGGGGAGGAGCCCAGAGCCUGAAUCAGCAUGUGUGUUAGUGGAAGCGUCUGGAAAGGCGCGCGAUACAGGGUGACAGCCCCGUACACAAAAGCGCAUGUGCUGUGAGCUCGAUGAGUAGGGCGGGACACGUGGUAUCCUGUCUGAAUAUGGGGGGACCAUCCUCCAAGGCUAAAUACUCCUGACUGACCGAUAGUGAACCAGUACCGUGAGGGAAAGGCGAAAAGAACCCCGGCGAGGGGAGUGAAAAAGAACCUGAAACCGUGUACGUACAAGCAGUGGGAGCACAGGUUUACCUGUGUGACUGCGUACCUUUUGUAUAAUGGGUCAGCGACUUAUAUUCUGUAGCAAGGUUA
rnacentral:rRNA from 1 species